UGGGGAAUAUUGCACAAUGGAGGGAACUCUGAUGCAGCAACGCCGCGUGCGGGAUGACGGCCUUCGGGUUGUAAACCGCUUUCAGCCAUGACGAAGCUUUUGUGACGGUAGUGGUAGAAGAAGCACCGGCUAACUACGUGCAGCAGCCGCGGUGAUACGUAGGGUGCGAGCGUUGUCCGGAAUUAUUGGGCGUAAAGAGCUUGUAGGCGGUUUGUCGCGUCGAUAGUGUAAACACGCAGCUUAACUGUGUGCCUGCUGUCGAUACGGGCUGACUAGAGGAGGGUAGGGGAGAAUGGAAUUCCCGGUGGAGCGGUGGAAUGCGCAGAUAUCGAGAGGAACACCAGUGGCGAAGGCGGUUCUCUGGACCUUUCCUGACGCUGAGAAGCGAAAGCGUGGGUAGCAAACAGG
rnacentral:rRNA from 1 species